rnacentral:rRNA from 1 species
UACAGAGGGGGCAAGCGUUGUUCGGAAUUGCUGGGCGUAAAGGGCGCGUAGGCGGCCUGCUAAGUCGAACGUGAAAUCCCCGAGCUCAACUCGGGAACUGCGUCCGAUACUGGUUGGCUUGAAUCCGGGAGAGGGAUGCGGAAUUCCAGGUGUAGCGGUGAAAUGCGUAGAUAUCUGGAGGAACACCGGUGGCGAAGGCGGCAUCCUGGACCGGCAUUGACGCUGAGGCGCGAAAGCCAGGGGAGCAAAGCGGG